rnacentral:rRNA from 1 species
UGGGGAAUAUUGGACAAUGGAGGCAACUCUGAUCCAGCAAUUCUGUGUGUGUGAAGAAGGUUUUAGGACUGUAAAACACUUUUAGUAGGGAAGAAAAAAAUGACGGUACCUACAGAAGAAGCGACGGCUAAAUACGUGCCAGCAGCCGCGGUAAUACGUAUGUCGCGAGCGUUAUCUGGAAUUAUUGGGCUUAAAGGGCAUCUAGGCGGUUAAACAAGUUGAAGGUGAAAACCUGUGGCUCAACCAUAGGCUUGCCUACAAAACUGUAUAACUAGAGUACUGGAAAGGUGGGUGGAACUACACGAGUAGAGGUGAAAUUCGUAGAUAUGUGUAGGAAUGCCGAUGAUGAAGAUAACUCACUGGACAGCAACUGACGCUGAAGUGCGAAAGCUAGGGGAGCAAACAGG